rnacentral:rRNA from 1 species
GCUUUACUGUAGCCUGGAUUGGUUCGGCUUCGCUUGCGCAGGAUAGGUGGAGGCUUUGAAGCUGCCUUGUGGGGUAGUGGAGCAAUGUGAGAUACCACUCUGGCGAGCUAGGAUUCUAACCUUAACCGUAAUCCGGAAAGGAACAGUUCAGGUGGCAGUUUUCUGGGCGGAACCUCAUAAAGGUAACUGAGGCGCGCAAAGUUCCUCAGUCUGGAUGGAAAUCAGACAUUGAGUGUAAAGCAGAAGGAGCUUGAUUGCAGACCAACAAGUCGAGCAGGGCGAAGCGGCUUAGUGAUCGACGGUGCCGAGUGGAAGGCCGUCGCUCAACGGAUAAAAGUUA